ACAUACGGGGCUUUAUGUCUUGUAAUUGGAAUGAUGGGAAUUUAAACCUCUUCCAGAGUAACAAUUGGAGGGCAAGUCUGGUGCCAGCAGCCGCGGUAAUUCCAGCUCCAAUAGCGUAUAUUAAAAUUGUUGCAGUUAAAAAGCUCGUAGUUGAAUUUCUGCUGCAUUGCAUUUUCUCCUAUACGAGUUUUUGCAUUGUGGCUUAUUUCGGUUAUAAAAUUUAUUUUUAUUUCCGGAUGUUUACUUUGAGAAAAUUAGAGUGCUCAAAGCAGGCUUUUGCCUUGAAUAGUUUAGCAUGGAAUAAUAAAGUAGGACUUUGGUUCUAUUUUGUUGGUUUUAGGUACCAAAGUAAUGGUUAAUAGGAACAGUUGGGGGCA
rnacentral:rRNA from 1 species